AAUACGUGAGUAACCUACCUUUAACUCUGGGAUAAGCCUGGGAAACUGGGUCUAAUACCGGAUACGACCAAUCUCCGCAUGGGGUGUUGGUGGAAAGCGUUAUGUAGUGGUUAUAGAUGGGCUCACGGCCUAUCAGCUUGUUGGUGAGGUAACGGCUCACCAAGGCGACGACGGGUAGCCGGCCUGAGAGGGUGACCGGCCACACUGGGACUGAGACACGGCCCAGACUCCUACGGGAGGCAGCAGUGGGGAAUAUUGCACAAUGGGCGCAAGCCUGAUGCAGCGACGCCGCGUGAGGGAUGACGGCCUUCGGGUUGUAAACCUCUGUUAGCAGGGAAGAAGAGAGAUUGACGGUACCUGCAGAGAAAGCGCCGGCUAACUACGUGCCAGCAGCCGCGGUAAUACGUAGGGCGCGAGCGUUGUCCGGAAUUAUUGGGCGUAAAGAGCUUGUAGGCGGUUUGUCGCGUCUGCUGUGAAAGGCCGGAGCUUAACUCCGUGUAUUGCAGUGGGUACGGGCAGACUAGAGUGCAGUAGGGGAGACUGGAAUUCCUGGUGUAGCGGUGGAAUGCGCARAUAUCAGGAGGAACACCGA
rnacentral:rRNA from 1 species